CCCGUGUCCCACGCGUGUCCCCCCUGUCCCAGCACCUCUCCACGGCCUCGGGGGAGCUGCAGGUGGACGCCUCCUUCAUGCAGACCCUGUGGAACAUGAACCCCAUCUGCUCGGGCUCCGAGGAAGGUUUUGUCACCGGCGGCCACGUCAUGCGCCUGUUCCACGGCCACAUGGACGAGUGCCUGACUCCCACGGCCCCCGAGCAGGGCGAGGAGCGCAGCAGCGUUGUCAACUACGAGGGUGGCGCCGUGUGCGCCCACGCCAGGUCCCUGUGGCGCCUGGAGCCGCUGCGCAUCAGGUACGGGG